AACGGUCAGCCUACAAAUUCGCCUCCCACAACGUCUCAUUGCCGUACCGUAACCAUAAUCACAAAUUAAGUUCGCGCGGCUUAAUGCCGAAGACUAAUGUCGAGACUGUGUUUGACAAUCGCAUUCUUUUACUCGAGAAUUAUUCCGAUAAACAUUGUGUUUGUUCAUCUUAGCGGAAUGCAACGAAUUCGACGCGAAUAUCUUUGGCACGCUGACGUUCGUGCUCUUCGAGGACAUUCCUGAUCUACAUUUCACGACGAUUUCGGCGCAGUUCUAGGAAGAUCUGCUCCAGUUCUGCCGUUACCCCAUUCCCUUAUGGUUCGCCCAUAACGUGACGUCACGAGCUAUCCGCGGAACUCGCGGUGUUGCCCGUUAAUAUCUAAAAUUAAUGUAAACAUUCGAAACGGCGAACGAACGACGAUAGCGCGUGCCGCAGAAGAACUGUAACGUAGAAGCGCUAAUUUUAACGAUGUUCAAGGACAUGGUGGCCGAAGAGCUGCGGCGAUUCCGCUUCUCUCUUUCUCUCUCUCUCUCUCUCCAUCUUUCAUUCUCAUUCUCUUUCUCUCUUCUUCUUGAAAAGCCACCGCUUCUGUCUACGCGCGACCUCAUAGGCAGUGACCUAUAUAUCUUCUGUUGCGAACUACGCCAGCGAAAUGGCAAGCUAUACAAUAAUCACGUCGAAUCUCGUUGAGUGCAGUUAAAACGUUGACGCGCGCGACGUCAUGCACGAGAAUAGCACAUUAAUCGCAAUCAAAGAGAAAGAGAGAGAGAGAGAGAGAGAGAAAAAGAUACAACGCGCUUGUUUUAAGCGCGGCGAUUAAUCAGAUUAGUGCGCCGCUCGUAAAACCGCCGAUGAAAGAUUCAACGGUGCACGUUCAGGGACGAGAGAAGUCAAGGCGUGCCGGAAAAACCUUCUCCUUCGAUCGCGUAACACCGACCUUUUUAUUCAUGCGGCGUAAUCGUAUCGCCGCAAAAUCACGUCGUUUCGACAACACGCGACGAAGUACGUUUCAACGAUCGUGUCAGCUUCGUGUUAGUCGGUCGCUAAAACCCGUUGGCGCCAGAGAUACAUGAAACUUUUUUCGCAACGUUUUUUCUCUGCAAAAAUCGUUUAUCGAUCUGUCG